CAAUAACCGCCACGUCCGGUCUCCGGAUGAAUGUAAGGCCACAAUAGAAACUGCCGUGCGACGCGGCAAGAGCAACGAACGGCUGCCGCUGGUCCGAGAACCGGAUCACCAGGGCCGUUCCAACCGCUGGAGGCGGCUGCCUUGAAGGAAUUGGUGCGGACCAACGAUGUGGUGCUGGUGUCCGCGGUGGGCGCGCUGCUGGACGGCGCCAAUAUCCACCACCUCGUGCUCGACAGUAACAUGAG
rnacentral:misc_RNA from 1 species